CUUCAGUGACGAUACGAUGACGAGUCAGAAAUGGACACCCUCUUGCUCGGAGCCAACAGCCUAGGGCCACGUUCUGUGGCACUUUGCUGGUUGACUUUGACAAGGGUGUCCUACUCACUGGAUGAACUUGAGGCAUUUGUCUGAGAAGG